UUAGGGUGGAAUAAAUUCGGUUAAGGUUCGUACAAACUGUAGCAAGGUGGAUUACGGCAGAUGAAGGUAGAAUUGUGAAGACACGUGACACUGUAUGACGUAUCACGGUCACGUGAUAAUUGCAAGUGUACAUCCAUGAAGUGGUUAAGUUUUCGCAUUCCUAAGUGACUGUCGAUCUUUUUCUAGGAUUCUGAUGUUACUGGCAUGACGGCCACUCCAAAAUGUAUCAUCAAGAAAAUGUACGCACUUUCACUUACAAUUUAAUUAUCACUAUAUUUUGUGCUCACAAUUAUAUUAUCAUGCAAUUAAACACUUCUAAGACUAACUGCAGUAGCAGAAUGAAAACGCGCGAGCAACUUGCACAAUUCUGCACGAAUAUUUCGGUGCCCUUAAAAGCCCAACAAGAAGUGGCGAAAUUAAAGAAGCUGUCUGGAUACAUUGCUGAACAAACAGGGACGUGCUAUUAGACGAGCCUCUGAUGUACAAUGGCAUCAACGUAGAAUUUGCUUGGUGAAGCCAUAACGAAGACAUUUAUAGCGGCGAGAUCACGCUGGAAGUUCUCAAAAUCCGAAUCUCCACGUACCUUGCCUAAGUUAUUCAGAGUUUUACUAAGCUACUGGUCUGACUUCUAAGCGCAUCCUCGGACACAGUUUGUAAGGCACAGCCUUUAUAUUAGGGGCUGGUGUUGUCAAAGCUGUAAUUGCUUAUCCACAGCAUACGCUCUUACAAACGCAUUCUUCAGUCGCCUCAUGAAUGCUUACGCGUCGCUGUCGCACGACCAAGAUGUGAGGGUCUUUAUCGAGCCAGGAUAUCGCUGUAACUACGCUGUGACCUCGCAAGGUUGCUUCGUUUGGACGCAGCGAAUAAUAUAAUCGCACCAGCAGAAGAGCGCCGAUCGUCUCGCUCACGGUCCCGAUUUGUGUACUGUACCCUCAGUCAUGCAGCGCAGACUGCGCCCCCCCCCCCAAAAAAAAAAAAAUAUGCUCGGCACGAACCGUAGUAGCAACUACCCGCCUCACCGCUCUUGUUGGAGACCACAACGAAGCAGCAGCUAACAGGCGGCCAUUCGAGCAAGCAAACCUGCCAGAAUAAACGUUCAAUUUGCGCGCCCGCCCCCUGCCCAAUGAAAAGCGACCGGAAGUGACGCGAGGACGCUGUACAGUCACUUCGGCACGCGGCACGAUGGGAAGGCGGAAGCUACGCCAUUAUUGCAUUCUUUAGCUACGUAAAAUGCGUUCGCGUCUCGCGCUGUGCGACAUAAUUUUAAACGUGUGAUUAGUUUUGUGCGCGGUGUAGAAAAAGGUGUGGCCCGUGCUUUGUGUAUUACUCGUGCUCCACUUCAAAGCAAAGCGUUCGUACGCACUGGAAGAUGGAUCCACGGACGCUGAGACGAGCAGUUGCAACGUGCCCUGUGUCGGCGGUCGGUAGUACUGCCAUAAUGGAAAUUUUCAGGCAAGUGCCCAUUUAUUUGGUAUUUCUUUAGUGGGUUACGUGCUUUUGUUCGCUCUAGAAGUAUCUUACUGUGAUCUCGUAGCAUAAUUCACUAAUGUAAGAGCAAGAGCAGCUGCACUCCUAGUAGGGCAAGUUAACUACCUCGAUCGCGCCCCGUCUUACAUCGGGCGUGAUGCGCCUGCAUAGUUAGGCUUUUCUCAGCGCUUGAACGUUCAUAGAUGUGCUUCUUUUGUGCGUUCAGCGCGGCUUCUUGUAAUACGGUCGCUCGCACUUAAGUAAAAUGUGGUCGACCACUCUUGCAUCGCGUAGAAAAAGGACGACUGACUUUGCCACCUUUCGAAAGAACUAGCGCGGUAUUGGUUCUCCCUGAUGCGGUCGCGUGCUGCUGUUGCUGCUUGCCGGGCGCCUUUAGCAUGUUUUCGGCUCGCUUUGUCUGUGCGUGUGUGCGCGCUCGCGCUCGGCUCGAUUCGUGUGUGUGCGUGCGCUCAGCUCAGCUCGCUUUGUGUGUGUGUGUGUGCAUGCAUGCGUGCGUCUUGCGCGCGCAUACAUGCCGGUUUGUAUGGGCCGGCGUGCUUGCGUGUGUCUAGUGCGUACGUGUUUUGUGAGCGUGUUUCUGUGUGGGUCACUGUGUGUGCGUGCACGUGUUAGCGUGUCUGCCUGCAUGUAUGUGUGAUUGUUUGUGUUUAUCAAUGUGCGCGUGCGUGCCUUUGUGUCUGCGCUUUGAGAGUGCGUAUAUUUGUGUGCGUGCGUAUGUAUUGCAUAAGGCCGGUAGAGUUUUACUCGCAAUAAAACUCUUCCAAUUUGGUGCAGCGAGUGUUGCCGCCUGAAAGCCGAGUUUGGUUUCAAGCCAACCUGGACAACUGCUUUAUGAGGCGCUGUUUCUCAGGAGGAUCAGUGGGAAGGCGUCAGGUCAUGCAGAUUAUAGCAUCAAUUUCACAAUACCCAGCCUUGGUGCCCUCCAUUAAGAGCAAGCCACUUGCGUUCGCCUUCAGGCAGAUGGUUGAUGUCUUCUAGGAAGCAGUUGGGAAGACUACAUUAUUCCAGCAAUGCCGUGCGCUGCAUUUAUUGGUCAAGAUGCUCAGAGAAUGGAGUCCCUGCACCUCGUGGUGAAACGUGAACAUUUUCUUUCUUUUGGAAAGCUAAACGUCAUUUGCUGUAUCAAUUGCAUUCUUGCAGCUCAGAUGUUUACUAUAUUUUUUCUAGUUUUGAAUCAAUUAAUAUUCACUGUUCAGUAUAAAAAUGACGUACAGUGUGAAGGACAAGGACUGCGAGAGAUGACAUACACUGCGCUGACUUCCAACAAUAUUUCAUUCCGUUGCCACAUCGUGUGUUUAUACACAAGGGCCAUGCGCAGAAAAUGAAAGGCAGUCACCAGGGGUGUUCUAACAGCAAGUCAGUGUACUAAGAACAUGGUCACUAAAAAAAAAUCACAAUUUCUAUCUGUGGAGAUACAAGACUUCACUAGGGGUCAGCGUGAUAGAGGGGGCAAUAACGCACACACUACCCAUUUUUCUGGUGAAAUAAGCAUCAAUAAUGUACCGGGUGAGCUGUGUUUCGCUAGAACAUGCCUAUCUUCAAAGAGGGGCAUGCAGCGGCAGUCCCGGCAAUGAAUGCCCAAGUGGCCUUGAACAGUGUUAUGGACGUUAUAGUGCACUUUUAAACGAUCAUUUAGGCACCUGCCUGUCCGUCCAACAUAUUUACUGCCUCAAAACGGGAAUAUGGUAAACCACAUUCGUUACACAUAUCGCAAAACGUUUUCUGUGCCCGACAGAGCAAGAACUCUGACUCGAUUUAGGCGCGUUUACACGCUUACAGAGCUUUGCCAGCUUUUCCGGGGCUGAGAAAAGGACUGGGAUUCCUGGAGGUUGCCAAAUAUUUUUUUAGCCUAUCGGAGACAUCAUGCACAUACGGUAGCACUGCGAACCAGUCUUUCAACCGGCUGGUUCCUUGACUGAGUGCGCUCAUCACGUUUUGUGCCCUUCAGAAGCUGUUUUGCUAUGGCUGAAAUUAAGGCCAAAGGGUAGCCAACCCAAGAAAGGCGAUCAACCUGUGCAGCAAGACUAUCUUGCAUUUCAUGUGAGCAAGAUUUAUUGAGGCUGUUAACGAGGCAAAUCUUUACAAUACCUCGUUUAACAAGCUUUGAAUGUGCAGAGUUAAAGGGCAAGAGUGACUUCUUACUUCUCGGUUCAAAGCACUAGCCCACCUGUUUAUUUGUAAGGCACUGCCUGAGAUCAAGAAAGCGCAAAGAAUCAUCAGUGGGGACCUCAUUUGUUAGUUCUAGAGGCUGCAGCUCUUAAAGAUCUCCAAGUCUCCCAAGCAGCAGGCUCAAAAGCAUGAUCAGUGCAAUCAAUAAAUACCACGUAGUCGU